rnacentral:rRNA from 1 species
AGCUCCAAUAGCGUAUAUUAAUGUUGUUGCAGUUAAAAAGCUCGUAGCCGACUCUCGGGGCUGUCGCAACGGUCCGCAGAAAUGUGAGCACUGUUGCGGCCGCCUCUUCCUUCUGGACACCAUGUCUUCUCUUUACUGAGCGGAUGUGGGGGCCAGAUCGUUCACUUUGAACAAAUUAGAGUGUUCAAAGCAGGCCUCCGCCUGAAUACUUGAGCAUGGAAUGAUAUCAAUAGGUUCUUCCUUCUCGUUUAUUGGUGAUGAGAAGGAAGAAAAUGAGAAAGGGGAAUGGUUGGGGCCAUUCGUACUGCAGCGUUAGAGGUGAAAUUCUUGGAUCGCUGCAAGACGAACAACAGCGAAAGCAUUUGGCAAGAACGUUUCCA